AAAUUACCAAUAGAACGUAAAAAUUGCACUCGUGCAGCACGAGUUUUGCCAAUCGAAAACGCUAUUAUUUAACAAUUUUAACCUAAAAAAAAUCAAAGUACACCAUGGAUGAGAAAAUUUAUCCACCCCCCUUAUUCAACGACGGCACCAACAGCACCAUUGGGUUUUGAUUCACAACAUCAACAAAUUCCCCUAUACCCCAUGAAUCAAGGGUUACAACAACCACCUUUCCAACAGUACGACAACCGCGGGCAGCCACCACCUUUAAAUGCAUAUAACGCUGUACCUACUGUGCCAGUUACCUACUUUGCACAACCCCAACAGACAAUUGUAGCAUUAAAUUCUACUCCACGAGCCUACCAACCGAUACCAAGAUUUGGAAUUACAAAUCGUAAGCACCAGUACAUCGCCCUGGGUAUAUUCGGAGGAAUAUUUCUGGUUAUGGUGAUUAUUGGAAUAGUAAUAGGUGUCGUUGUAUCACGAGAUAUUAGCGAAUCUAAUAGGAGACAUGAAGAAUUUAGAAAAAAACUUUCCCUAAGCUAAAACACCUGUUUCCGGUUACUUACAUUUUACCUCAAUGAUAUUUAUAUAGGUACUCAAUGUUGCAUUUCAAUUUGAUGAUUACCUUAAUUAUGAUCUGCUGCUAGAAAUUAAUAUCGGCUAUUGUAUGCUAAGUGUUAAUAACGAUUGUGUUCUAUGUGUGCUUCUUUUCUAUGGUGGACAAACUUCUUUUUUCCACAACUGCUUUGAAAAUGCACAAAAAGAAACGUGAAAUGGCUUUGAAGGUUGCACUUUACACACAUGUAUCAAUAGCCUUCAUAUUCAUAUAAUUUGUACCACUAAACCAUCAUACCUGUGUGAAAACUGCGCUUUUCCAAACUUGCACAUAUAACAUUUUAAUUUUGAAUGUGAUACUGGUAUUGGUUGUAUUUGCCUACAUCAAAUUUUGGUUGAUGGUUGACACAAUGAUUGUAUGUACCUAUAUGUCAUUAUCAAAAUAUUUAGAUUAUUCAAAAAGUACCAUCUUCUAUAUAAAACAACCGUGGCCUUGAGUUAUUUCUAACACCGAGGCCUAAAUGUGUCAGUAGUAAAAGAGACAUUGAAAAUAUACCUAAUGCAGUUUUACUAUUUUUGUAUGUUACUUUACAAAUAAAUAAAUGUGCCUU